rnacentral:misc_RNA from 2 species
AACGCACAUUGCGCCCAUUAGUAUUCUAGUGGGCAUGCCUGUUCGAGCGUCAUUUCAACCCUUAAGCCUAGCUUAGUGUUGGGAGCCUACUACUUUUACUAGCUGUAGCUCCUGAAAUCCAACGGCGGAUCUGCAAUAUCCUCUGAGCGUAGUAAUUUUUUUCUCGCUUUUGACUGGAGUUGCAGCGUCUUUAGCCGCUAAACCCCCCAAUUUUUAAUGGUUGACCUCGGAUCAGGUAGGAAUACCCGCUGAACUUAA